UGGGGAAUAUUGCACAAUGGGCGCAAGCCUGAUGCAGCGACGCCGCGUGGGGGAUGAAGGCCUUCGGGUUGUAAACUCCUUUCGCUAGGGACGAAGCUUUUUGUGACGGUACCUAGAUAAGAAGCACCGGCUAACUACGUGCCAGCAGCCGCGGUAAUACGUAGGGUGCGAGCGUUGUCCGGAAUUACUGGGCGUAAAGGGCUCGUAGGUGGUUUGUCGCGUCGUCUGUGAAAUUCUGGGGCUUAACUCCGGGCGUGCAGGCGAUACGGGCAUAACUUGAGUGCUGUAGGGUAACUGGAAUUCCUGGUGUAGCGGUGAAAUGCGCAGAUAUCAGGAGGAACACCGAUGGCGAAGGCAGGUUACUGGGCAGUUACUGACGCUGAGGAGCGAAAGCAUGGGUAGCGAACAGGAUUAGAUACCCUGGUAGUCCAUGCCGUAAACGGUGGGCGCUAGGCGUGAGGGUCUUUCUACGACUUUCGUGCCGUAGCUAACGCAUUAAGCGCCCCGCCUGGGGAGUACGGCCGCAAGGCU
rnacentral:rRNA from 1 species